rnacentral:lncRNA from 1 species
UAUUAUGCCCCACCUACGAUAGUAGAGGGGCAUUAUGUUUUCUGGUCUGUGCCUCCGUUCGUUCGUUCGUUCGUCCGUCUGUGCGUCCGUUCGCUUCAGAUUAAAGUUUUGGUCGAGGUAGUUUUUGAUGAAGCUGAAGUCCAAUCAACUUGAAACUUGAUAUACAUGUUCCACAUGAUAUGAUCUUUCUAAUUUUAAUGCCAAAUUAUAGUUUUG